GAGUUAUGUAUCAUCAGGCUUGAAAUCAACAGGGACACGCCCACAAAUGUGCUCUGCAGUGCAGUGACAAAGCAUGAUGAAUUAUUUCUUUUAUAGUGAUGCUUGUAGGGAUGAGAAGGCAGAGCCCCUACAGCAGAACUGUUGCAAACUGCCCUGCUUGGCCUUGUAUCUUUCCAAGCAACCCGUCCUUCUGUGUCAAGGUUGUGUAGCUGCGCUCCUAGGCUAGUAUAGACAAGGCUUUGCCUGCAGAUGGCUAGAAUUUGCAUGGAUAAAUCAGAAUAGUAUUUGUAUGGAUAAUGCAGAAACAAGAGGCUUUCUUUUUGCCAGAUAGGAUUCCUUAGAAGAGACAGUAUCGGCCAUUUCAUGGACGCUGGGUGUGCCAGAGCAUCUGGGAACGCCAGGCGGGAGGGGAUGGAGAAGACCUAGCCUAGGUUCUGUGGAUUUGAACCUCCGCAUUUCUAACCCAAGAUCUCGAAAUGCAUCGUGAUUCCUGUCCAUUGGACUGUAAAGUUUAUGUAGGUAAUCUUGGAAACAAUGGUAACAAGACUGAAUUGGAACAAGGUUUUGGCUAUUAUGGACCACUUCGAAGUGUGUGGGUUGCUAGAAACCCUCCUGGCUUUGCUUUUGUUGAAUUUGAAGAUCCCCGAGAUGCAGCUGAUGCUGUCCGAGAGCUAGAUGGGAGAACACUGUGUGGCUGCCAAGUAAGAGUGGAACUAUCGAUGGUGAAAAGAGAAGUCGUAAUCGUGGCCCACUUCCUUCUUGGGGUCAUCGCCCUCGAUAUGAUUAUCUGAGGAGGAGUCCUCCACCUCGCUGAAGAUCUCCAAGACGGAGAAGCUUCUCCCACCGGAGCAGGUCCCUUUCUAGAGAUAGAAGGAGAGAGAGAUCACUGUCCCGGGAGAGAUAUCACAAGCCGUCCUGAUCUUUCUCUAGGUCUCGUAGCCGAUCUAGGUCAAAUGAAAGGAAAUAGAAGACCAAUUUGCAAGAGGAGUGGUGUGCAGGAAAUAACUUUAUUUGACAGGAGUAUGUACAGAAAAUUCAAGUUUUGUUUGAGACUUCAUAAGCUUGGUGCAUUUUUAAAAUGUUUUAGCUGUUCACAUUUGUUUGUCUGUUGGAACAGUGACACAAAGGUGUAAUUCUCUAUGGUUUGAAAUGGAUCAUAUGAGGCAUGUAAUAUCAAGAAUUAUUACUUUACAAUGUUCCCUUAAGCAAAAUUUAAUUUGCUUUGAAUUUUAGUCUUGCAUAGGCUGAUAAUAAACCUCUUAACUCCUGCCCAGCUAAAGUCAAUAUUUAACAAUAUGGAAAUAAAAACUGGCAAAAAUUGGAAGAUUUUUUUCAACAUAGCUGGGAUAUGGUAUGCAGCUGUAGUUAAGCAGUUUUUAAAAGCUGCUGUGAACUCAAAAGCUAGCUGGAAAAAUUAAACCUUCACCCUUAAACUAGAUUAGAGGUUUAAAAAUCCCACUAGUCUUCACACUGGACGAAAGGUUGUCCAGUUGGUGUAGAAUCUAAGAAGUUUCAAGGAAGUUAGUUUACUUUUGCUUUAGGUUGUAAGUUCCUUCUAUGAUUGCUGUAUAUGAAUACAUAGCUCUUUGUAACGUUCUUUAUUUGGAAAUCUGAGACUACUCAAGAUAACAAAUGUCCUGCCAGUUUAAGGGUACAUUGUAGAGCUGAACUGAGUUACUGUGCAAGAUGCUUUUUUUAUGCUGUCAUUUGUAAUACGUUUUGUGAGAAUCCUUGGGAUUAAAGUUUUGGUUACAAAAAAAAAAAAAAAAA